rnacentral:lncRNA from 1 species
ACAUGCUUCUCACUCCCGGAUGAACCUCCCUCCAUUUGGACUCCAACUCCCUCGACAGGAAGACCUAAAGAGAGUUAAUAUAUUCUGCCAUAGAAACACACAUUCUCAUUUGGAAGCCUCAGAAGGACAGAAUGUGGUCACCACUGUCCCUGGGAGUCUUUGCAAACACAAUUAUCCUAAAGAGACAGCUUGCUUUUUUCUAAACCACAUGGAUUCAUGUUCCAGCACCUAGAACCUCGCAGGAGCUGUGCCAUCUCAUCUCCUGGAAAGUUCUGCUAAAACCCAAACAGUGAAGAGCAGUUUCCCACAUGUCUGGCAGCUCAAAGAUCCAUGUCUGCUCCACACAGCUGUUUACUUGGCACCCAGGCAGAGUUGGUUCCUCUUUUUCUCAUUCUAUCAAGAUGUUCCUUGUUUCUGCUAAUGACUAUUAAUAAUAAUAUUUACACAAACAAGCUCUUCAUUGUGCCAAAAGAUCUCAAAAUGCUUCAGAACUAGUCUGCCACAAAUUCAGGGCCAGAUUCGUGGAGUGGAGCAUCCAGAGUGGUCUCUGAGACCAGCUAACUGAUUGUUGAGAGAGCACAGCAGAAGGAACACUUCCUGUCCAUAGGACAGUGCGCAUGGACCAGCUGCCGUCUGGAAAGGAGCACUGACUGGGACACUCUAGGGGAUGGGCACUAACUAAACUGUGCACAAACUAACAUGGUAUGCUCACAUAUAACUCUGCCAUAAUAAAGACGCUCAUGUUUCCAUUUGUUGCCUUUGGGUUGCCAAUUUUCUUCUCUACCUUUUUUGGAAAAUUACAUUCUGAUUUUCUUUUGCGGAAUGGGCUCCACCUCAUUGAAUACAGUUGGAUGGAACAGUUACCCAAGGUGCCUUGUGCUCUCUAGACAAGGAGCAGGCAGGUGACCCAAUAUAGGUCAGAAGCCCAACCCUUUCCUAGAAGUAGAAUCGGAUGAGAGUGAUGGAGACAAGAAAGCUUGUUGAAGCUGAUGAAUUCCAGCAGCAAAGCCUGACAGUACUCAUAUAGUUCUACUACCGAGACUCUUCAGAGUCACUUGUUUUCUCUUCUUUCUUCGUCUGGUUCUUUAGUCAUCGAUAUUGCUUUGUUCCAUGUUGCUUUAUUUUUUUUUAUUUGUUUAAUAUUGUGACCUUCCCACAGCUUUCCUAUAAUUUGUUUGUGCUUAGCUUAACCAGAGUACACUUCAGUUACUUGCAUCAGGGUGCUCUAACUGAUGUACGGGAUUUAAGUGUUUUGUGAAACACUUGGGAGAUCUUUUACUCUUACUUAUGCUGGACUAUAUUGAUAGACUACAGCAGGCAGUUAAACGUUAGGAUGAAUGUGCAGCUGGUAGAAGAGAAAGUGGAGCAGUGUCAGAAGGAUAGGGUCACCUGUGCUAGAUGCCUAAGAGUUGGGGAUGUUGACUGAUAUCACCAAACCUACAAAUGUUCUACAACUGUGGAGAAAUUUACUGGGGUUUCCUUGUCCUGUAGGCACGUGCUAAAUCACAAGAAAAAUUAGAGAUCAAAAAUGAAUGUUUAGUUUCUUUGGAAUACAGGUGAACUCUAACCCAGCAUGUGAACAACUCUGGCUUAAGACUGUGGAGACAAAGGGCUGAGGCAAUCAUGUAAGGCACUGAUGUCCAUGGAUGUAAGAUGUUUUCCCAUGUGGCCUGUUCAUGCCCCCACACCACAGACUGUCCCUGCAGCAAUGGCCUAGGACUGUACUCAUCAGCCACUGUGGACGAGGAAAUUCCAAACAGCGGACCCUCAUGCUCAUUAAAGUGCUAAGAAGAAAGCUGACGGAUUACAGGUGUGCAGACAGUAAACGCUCCGUAAACCAAAAAUGCUAGUGCUACAAACAACUAACAUUACUCUAUACAAGGAAUUUUGUCUCUUCAUCAGAUGAAAAGGAUGAAGGUGGAAUUGGAGGUUAGUUUCACUGAAAAUAGAUAACUUAAUUGCCGCCAUGACUCUUGCAUAGAUUGACUAGAAGAAAUAAGUUUCCAAGUCCAAAAUUUUUACUUCAUUCUAAGUAUGGUCCAAAUGCGUCAUAUGCUGGCCAUAACUCAACACAUUUUAAUUAAUGGAUAAGACCAAUCAACAGCUGAUAUAGGUAGGAUAUUAAACUGCUGGGAAAGUCUUAGCAAAAUGCCACAGGCUGUGUGGCUAAAACAACAGAAAU